rnacentral:pre_miRNA from 1 species
AAAGUACUCCCUUCGUCCCAAAAUUCUUGUCUUAGAUUUGUCUAGAUAUGGAUGUAUCAAGUCACAUUUUAGUAUUAGAUACAUACGUAUCUAGACAAAUCUAAGACAAGAAAUUUGGGACAGAGGGAGUAGUUG